AAUCCAUGAGUAAAGUGGCGCACGGGUGAGUAACACGUGACUAACCUACCCUUGAGUGGGGGAGUAACCUAGGGAAACCUGGGCUAAUACCGCAUAAUACCUACGGGUCAAAGGAGCAAUUCGCUUUAGGAGGGGGUCGCGGCAGAUUAGUUAGUUGGCGGGGUAAUGGCCCACCAAGACGAUGAUCUGUAUCCGGCCUGAGAGGGCGCACGGACACACUGGAACUGAAACACGGUCCAG
rnacentral:rRNA from 1 species